rnacentral:rRNA from 1 species
GAUGAACGCUGGCGGCGUGCCUAAUACAUGCAAGUCGAACGCUGGAGAUCUAGCUUGCUAGAUCGAAGGAGUGGCGAACGGGUGAGUAAUACAUAAGCAACCUACCCACGAAGACUGGGAUAAUCUCUGGAAACGGGGACUAAUACCGGAUAGGUAAUCGGAAGGCAUCUUCUGAUUAUUAAAGGUUAAAAACACUGGUGGAUGGGCUUAUGGCGCAUUAGUUAGUUGGUGAGGUAACGGCCCACCAAGACGAUGAUGCGUAGCCGGCCUGAGAGGGUGAACGGCCACAUUGGGACUGAGACACGGCCCAGACUCCUACGGGAGGCAGCAGUAGGGAAUUUUCGGCAAUGGGGGAAACCCUGACCGAGCAACGCCGCGUGAGUGAUGACGGCCUUCGGGUUGUAAAGCUCUGUUGUAAGGGAAGAACGGUAGAUAGAGAAUAUCUAAGUGACGGUACCUUACCAGAAAGCCACGGCUAACUACGUGCCAGCAGCCGCGGUAAUACGUAGGUGGCGAGCGUUAUCCGGAAUUAUUGGGCGUAAAGGGUGCGUAGGCGGCCUGUUAAGUAAGUGGUUAAAUUGUUGGGCUCAACCCAAUCCAGCCACUUAAACUGGCAGGCUAGAGUAUUGGAGAGGCAAGUGGAAUUCCAUGUGUAGCGGUAAAAUGCGUAGAUAUAUGGAGGAACACCAGUGGCGAAGGCGGCUUUGCUAGCCAAAGACUGACGCUCAUGCACGAAAGCGUGGGGGAGCAAAUAGG